GACGAAGGGGGCUAGCGUUGCUCGGAAUGACUGGGCGUAAAGGGCGCGUAGGCGGUUUGUACAGUCAGAUGUGAAAUUCCUGGGCUUAACCUGGGGGCUGCAUUUGAUACGUGCAGACUUGAGUGAGGAAGAGGGUUGUGGAAUUCCCAGUGUAGAGGUGAAAUUCGUAGAUAUUGGGAAGAACACCGGUGGCGAAGGCGGCAACCUGGUCCUUGACUGACGCUGAGGCGCGAAGGCGUGGGGAGCAAACAGG
rnacentral:rRNA from 1 species